GGCGAAUGAACAGAGAUCAGUUCAGAUUGAAAAUCGAGGGCUUGCCCUUGAGUUGUAAUCUUCUGUUGUAUUCCCAAUUGGGGCGGAGGUGUGAGUCUCUUGGAAAAGAGCUCCAUUGAGGGUGAAAGUCCCACAUGUCACCUUUAGUUCCCAGUGUACGGGGUGCAUCUUAUGAGUCACACUCUUCGGGAUUGGAGUGCAAAUCGGGUGGUAAAUCUCAUCCAAAACUAAAUAUAAGUCUGAGACCGAUAGCAAAGAAGUACCGUGAGGGAAAGGUGAAAAGGACUUUGAGAAGAGAGUUAAAAGUGUGUGAAACUGCUGGAAGGGAAGCGAAUGGAACCUGUAUUCUUGGCAAGAUUGCCUUCUUCUCGGUGUCAACUUUUCGACUUCAGCGUAAGCGGGGUCGGAGGUGUUGAUUGCUUGGAUGGAGGUGCAUCCUGCUUGGAUGCUCAGAGAUGCAUCGUUUUCAGUGAAAACUCUCGGGAUUUGCACCUCGUUCUUACGGGAAUGGGGAGGUUCUGAGCUGAAACUGUCGAUGGUGUUUCUUUGGGUAAAGGGUUUUAUUCGACCCGUCUUGAAACACGGACCAAGGAGUCUAGCACAUGUGCAAAUUCGAGGGUGUUAAACCUUCGGGUGUAAUGAAAGUGAUAGCUGGGAUAUUUGCACCAGCAUCCGACUGAUCCUUGUGUGAGGUUUGAGUGUGAGCACAUCUGUUAGGACCCGAAAGAUGGUGAACUAUGCCUGUGAAGAGCAAAGCCAGGGGAAACUCUGGUGGAGGCUCGCAGCGAUACUGACGUGCAAAUCGUUCGUCAAACAUGGGUAUAGGGGCGAAAGACUAAUCGAACCAUCUAGUAGCUGGUUCCCUCCGAAGUUUCCCUCAGGAUAGCUGGAGUUGAACAGUUUUAUCAGGUAAAGCGAAUGAUUAGAGGAAUCGGGGGCGUGUUGUUCUCGACCUAUUCUCAAACUUUAAAUGGAUAAGAUCCAGUGGUUGCUUAAGUGAACUUCUGGGGCAAAUGACAACUCUAAGUGGGCCAUUUUUGGUAAGCAGAACUGGCGAUGAGGGAUGAACCUAACGUUGGGUUAAGGUGCUUAACUGCUCGCUCAUCAGAUACCAUAAAGGGUGUUG
rnacentral:rRNA from 1 species